AAGGCGUGACGUAACUAUGAAGAACUCACGCAAUAUUCAACUGCUUGACCCCGCUUUUGAUUACUGUGCUUCCUAUUUUGGUUUCCAGUAAUGUUGAAUUGUCUCUACCUAAAACACUGAAGUCUCAUCCUAUCUGGUCCUGGGGACUUCCAGCCUCCACACUAGCCUACGUCUGAUUGCCAGGUAAAUCGCCCUUUUGGGGUCAUUUAC
rnacentral:lncRNA from 1 species